CUUGCUUCUCUUGAGAGCGGCGGACGGGUGAGUAAUGCCUAGGAAUCUGCCUGGUAGUGGGGGAUAACGUUCGGAAACGGACGCUAAUACCGCAUACGUCCUACGGGAGAAAGCAGGGGACCUUCGGGCCUUGCGCUAUCAGAUGAGCCUAGGUCGGAUUAGCUAGUUGGUGGGGUAAUGGCUCACCAAGGCUACGAUCCGUAACUGGUCUGAGAGGAUGAUCAGUCACACUGGAACUGAGACACGGUCCAGACUCCUACGGGAGGCAGCAGUGGGGAAUAUUGGACAAUGGGCGAAAGCCUGAUCCAGCCAUGCCGCGUGUGUGAAGAAGGUCUUCGGAUUGUAAAGCACUUUAAGUUGGGAGGAAGGGUUGUAGAUUAAUACUCUGCAAUUUUGACGUUACCGACAGAAUAAGCACCGGCUAACUCUGUGCCAGCAGCCGCGGUAAUACAGAGGGUGCAAGCGUUAAUCGGAAUUACUGGGCGUAAAGCGCGCGUAGGUGGUUUGUUAAGUUGGAUGUGAAAUCCCCGGGCUCAACCUGGGAACUGCAUUCAAAACUGACUGACUAGAGUAUGGUAGAGGGUGGUGGAAUUUCCUGUGUA
rnacentral:rRNA from 1 species